rnacentral:rRNA from 1 species
UGGGGAAUAUUGCACAAUGGCGAAAGCCUGAUGCAGCAACGCCGCGUGAGGGACGACGGCCUUCGGGUUGUAAACCUCUUUUAGCAAGGAAGAAGCGAAAGUGACGGUACUUGCAGAAAAAGCGCCGGCUAACUACGUGCCAGCAGCCGCGGUAAUACGUAGGGCGCAAGCGUUAUCCGGAAUUAUUGGGCGUAAAGAGCUCGUAGGCGGUUUGUCGCGUCUGCUGUGAAAACCCGAGGCUCAACCUCGGGCCUGCAGUGGGUACGGGCAGACUAGAGUGCGGUAGGGGAGAUUGGAACUCCUGGUGUAGCGGUGGAAUGCGCAGAUAUCAGGAAGAACACCGAUGGCGAAGGCAGAUCUCUGGGCCGUAACUGACGCUGAGGAGCGAAAGGGUGGGGAGCAAACAGGCUUAGAAUGACCCUGGUAGUCCACCCGUAAACGUUGGGCAACUAGUUGUGGGGNCCAUUCCACGGAUUCCGUGGACGCAGCUAACGCAUUAAGUUCCCCGCCUGGGGAGUACGGCCGCAAGG